UGACGUCACAUUGUUGCUUGUUUUUACUUUUUUGAAAGAGCUACUCUCGAACGUAGAUUAGCCAUUGCCGUCGUGUCGGCUGCAAGAUGUUCUGCGCGCGCUUGGCGCGCUUUUGUGCGUGUCGAAAGCGUAUAACGUGCGCGAUAUUCGUGCGAGCGCAGUUUGACUUGAGCAAUCGUGGGUUUGGACUCCGUGACAUUUGCUUUCGUCAUAUGCGAGUUAGGGGCUUGCCGACAGAUGAGUUGAGAUUUACACAUCAAUGCCAGCUCACAAAGCAUCUAAUACGGCAAUCAGCCAGCCACCUCCGCAGAU
rnacentral:lncRNA from 1 species